GUUUUGGGAUACUUGAAAUAUUAUCAAUGAGUGAUUAUUAUUAUUAUUUUAAAUGGGACUGUGAAAACAGAGAGUGCUUUGGAUACAAUUACAAAGGUUGAAGGAUGCUUAGCAAUAAACUAUUCCUGGUUCAUUAUGUUACUUUCUGUUGCACGGUUUGCAGAGGAAGGGUAAAGAUUCAUCUUUGCCUCCAUAAUUAUAUAUUUGAAGUAGCAAAAAUAACAUAUUCACUGACCCACCCAAAUACAUUCAUUUUAUGGAUAAUUUAAUUGGUCACAAAUUAAUUAAUAUAAUUUAACCUAUUCUUGAAUGGAUUGGGUGGGGUUAUAUAUGUGGCUGUCCAUUUAUACCUAUUAAUAUAAAUGAUAUGUGCAUUUUUGCCUAAUUUGAAAUAAUUUUUGCCUAAUUUGAAAUAAUACGGUUAUCCACAGCUCCAACUCAAUUAAGCCUUAAUGUCAAAUUAGUUGGAUUUAGAUGUGUAGAUCCAUUUUCUCCUUUCCACCUGCUUUAAUACUAGCUCUUCAAAAGGAUUUAGGUCCACUUAAUCCUUUUUCAUUAUUUACCUGGUAUCAUCCUAGCUCUAUUUUGCACUGAUUUUGCUCCAACUCCAACUUUUGUAUCUUUGCUAGUCUAUGGUGCACAUGUCACUAGUAAAUUGUUAAGAGGUUAAGAUUAACCUAAAUCAUUUUAAUGCUGCCUUUACCAAUAUCCACCCAUUUUGCCAACCCAAUUUUAUAUUAAUUUUUUCCCUUUCAAUUUAUUACUCCCUUGCCUUUAUUUUAUUUUUACCGUCCCUUACUUUUCUAUCCUGGCUUUAACUUAUCAUCAUAAGAAAAUGACAUCUAGUAUCAAAGGUAUCUAAAUGUUUUGUCAUUGAUGAGAAGUGGGAAACUGAGAAGAUAAAGAUGAAUGUAAAAGAAACUAAAAUUGCAAAAAGUGAUGUUUAUGGAGGUGGAUUUCUCACAUUCUUGGAUGAUAAAAUCUUUCUAAGAGCACCACUAAUGCAGGGGUCGCUACACUGAUGGAGUUUGAAAAUAUAUGUGUGCAUGUGUGAGUCCUCAUUUCUGUGAAGUUUAUAUUCAUUUGCCUUUAAUAACACUAUGGAACUUCUGUAUUCAAGGGCUUUUUUGGUCACAAUGAUUGCAAUUAAAUGUAAUUUUUACUAUCAUGUGAAGAUUGUUGUCAUUUUUUAUGUUACUGUUAGUUUUAGAAGAAAUGAAUUGUUGAAUUAUCCAUGGCAUUUAUUAAUUAGCACUUUUUAACUUCAUAAUGUUUCUUCAAUGUCAGUAGUUUAUUCUGUCUUGCAAAUUUGUUGUAUUUCUCAAUAAGAUAAUGUCUGAAGAUGUAUUCAAGUUUUAAAGUUCUACAUAGUCAUCAUAGUGAAGAGCAAACAUGCACACACUGAGCGAUAGAGAACAUUGGCUUUAUUUGAAUGCAUUAAAUUCCCAGGCAGACACACGCUCAGUGAGAAACACGCGCACAAAAAUACAUGGACAAUAGUGAGUGCUUUAAUUAAAUGCAUAUUACAUGGAAUUUAAAUAAGUUUUCUGAUUGAAUACUCAGCUGGAUAAAUUUUUUCUUGGUAAUGUAUUUGAUAUGUUCCUAAUUUUUCUUGAAAGAAUA
rnacentral:misc_RNA from 1 species